UUGAUACAUUGGUGGAUAUUCUUCUUUACACACAUUUUUGCAAUGAACCCUGAAAAGAGAAAGAUGUCUGUGUGACCGAGGACAGACAUUUUACAUUUUAAACAACAGACUUUACUGUCCAAGUGCAGCGAAUCAACAAAUAUAACUGGGAUUUUAUCCAAAAUCAUCCCUAUGUACUGGUGAACCUAUAUGCCAAUACCGAUAUAUCUGUGAUAAGCCGAUAUCAGCUGAUAAUUUGAUUGGACAAAACAAGUCAUUUGAAUAUGAAAAUAAAUGAUCAAGUGACAAGGAAAUUAAUUCAAAAACAUGAAUCUUGUAUCCCUCAUUCAAGCUGUAUCAUAUUUCAUACUUGUGUAUUUGUUGUGUGUAAACAAGAGGACCAUUAUAUUUUUUUCUUUACAGGUAACAAUAAUAAGAGGUGUGGAGUCCCAAGCAGAGCCUGUAAUCACUGUAUAUACACCACCUGUCAUUACGACUCUUAAAUAAUGUCCUCCACCUGUUACAUUUAGCUGCUGCAGCCUGAAUAAAGUCUAUAUUUGAGGAACACUCUGGCCCUGACUUUCAUUUUGAGCGGGUCUUGGAUGGGAGGGGAGGUUCUGUAACCUAACCCAGGCAGCCUUACCGUCCAGCUGGAUGUCCAGGAUGACACAGAGCAGUGACAGGGAGCACAGGACCCCGCUGAGUCCUGUCCGCCGACACGAAUCCAUCCCUGGACUUAUUCACGCUUUCACACCGGAACCAGCGAAUUUAACAGCUCUGCUUUCACGUCGACCCAAAACGCCUCUUAGUGUCAUUGAAAACGAUGAUGUUCCGAGUUAAACCUUCAUGUUUCGUUUUUCUUCUUCUCAGCCGGAUCGCAGGAACAAGCUACGACGGCAUAUUAUUUACGGUCCCGGUCUGACAAGUACUCCGUGCGGAAAACGAAGCACACCGCUAAAAGGUUCCACCUGAAAUGUUGUAGAGAUUUACCACUGAUUUCCGACGUUGACGCUGGCUCAAUGGUCUCUGGUUGAACUUAAACAACCCUCACGUAACAUGAUGAUAGAGAAGCUGAACAGCUGACGGCCCCUGUACACUUUGGUCACGAAACCUUCCUGCCGCUGGUCUCGCCGGCCCCUCCCUUUCUGCCCUACAUCCGCGCGGUUGGUCCACGCGCCGCACAUCCGUGUUCGUCUGGAAACGUGGGCCGCUCUGAUUGGACGGACUAUUUUAACACUGAUCCCACAUCCCUGCAUGGGCCAAGCGAGCGAGCGUCGCCACAUAACACGGUGCAUGUUAUCACUCACAGUGAUUUCAUGUAAAGUGGAAGAACCGGACACACUUGUAUUUUGUAUAUUUAUUUAUGGGGAAGCGAAAGUUAACUCUGUAGAUAUGAAUCUUGUAUGGAGGACUAUUUCUGCCAUAAAGAAAGUCUAUUUAUAUAUUUGUUUGUUUUUCAAUCUAAUUCUUUUCACGAUGAUUACUGUUUAAAUUAUGUGUGUGCGUAUUGAUUACAUUUAAUAAUUUGUAAUUAUUAUUAAUGAAUACUUACUGCAGGUCUGUUGUUAACAAUAUGUUACUAAUGCCUUUUUCGAUGAUUUAUAACUUCUGGCAAGAAGGUUGUGUUUUCACCUGGGUAUGUUUGUAUGUUUUUUGAUUGGUUUGUUGGUUUGUCACCAGGAUUACACAAAAAUCACCUGAAGGAUUGCCACGAAACUUUGAUGUAAUGUGGAUCUUGGCCCAGAAUAGACCCCAUUGACUUGGAUUAAGGGACAGAGCCAGGUAUUUUUUCAAAUUUUUCGUUAACAAUGUAAGACAGGAUGUUUUUCAUGAUAUUUUGUUGAUUUAAAUGGCGUCUAUGAGUGAGUGCUAUUCUAGUUUAUUUAGUUGAUGUAUCAUUAUUAUGUGUAUGAUCAACGCUUUUUUUCUGAGUAUAUUUGUGUGCUUUGUAUACAUGUAUGUUUUUUUGCAUGGACAAUUGGAAUGGUUUAUUUGUCUUGAAUAUUUAAGUUGCACUGUUAAUUAAGCCUUUUGCACUAAAACAUUUGUUGCAGAAAAACAACUCCGCAUAUCAGAAGUUUUAUUGUUUUAAGAUAUAUUAUAUCAUCAUUAUUGCUAGACUUCAGUGUCCUCACUGAUGGCAAUGCUACUCAGUUUCUCAUCGUUAUGAUUUAGUAUCUCACAAUUAUGUAACAUUUUUCUCGUUUUUAUAACACAAUGUAUCUUAAUGUUGAAGUGGAUUGCUGUGACAUAUAUAUCUUCUAGUUAUAGAAAUAAAAAAAAACAACACGUGUACAGUCGUGACUUAAUUGACUACGGGGAUUCAAAAUCAAACGGAAAUGUUUUGCAUAACACAUUUUACUGUGUACAAUCGUAAAAAAAGACAACAAACAACAAACCAUCAAAACAAAGAUGCCCUCUCCUUCGCCCUUCCCCCAAGACACUAUCUAUAAAACUGUACAGUACAACACACACAAACAUCUGGAUUAUCACUGUUUUUGACCUUCCCCUUACAAAUGUCUAGAAGCAUGUAUGAAGAUGAUCAAACAAUUGGACUUCUUUGGAAACAAGUGACUGUAUGUGAAUGUAUGGUUCACUAACAUCAGCAGGAUAACUUAAAUAGAAUCAUUGCAAUCACACAGUGGGUUUGACGCAGCGUUAAGUAGUUUAGCUUUUUACAACUUUUACAAUAUAAUUUUGAUGCUAUAAUUUUUACAGAAUAGUCUUGAUAGUGUGAUUUUAUAUACAGUGCUUUAGUCUGUGAACAUGUUAAAGAAGCUUUUC